rnacentral:rRNA from 1 species
AGAGUUUGAUCCUGGCUCAGGAUGAACGCUGGCGGCGUGCCUAAUACAUGCAAGUCGAGCGAACAGAUAAGGAGCUUGCUCCUUUGACGUUAGCGGCGGACGGGUGAGUAACACGUGGGUAACCUACCUAUAAGACUGGAAUAACUCCGGGAAACCGGGGCUAAUGCCGGAUAAUAUUUAGAACCGCAUGGUUCUAAAGUGAAAGAUGGUUUUACUAUCACUUAUAGAUGGACCCGCGCCGUAUUAGCUAGUUGGUGGGGUAAUGGCUUACCAAGGCAACGAUACGUAGCCGACCUGAGAGGGUGAUCGGCCACACUGGAACUGAGACACGGUCCAGACUCCUACGGGAGGCAGCAGUAGGGAAUCUUCCGCAAUGGGCGAAAGCCUGACGGAGCAACGCCGCGUGAGUGAUGAAGGUCUUCGGAUCGUAAAACUCUGUUAUUAGGGAAGAACAAAUGUGUAAGUAACUGUGCACGUCUUGACGGUACCUAAUCAGAAAGCCACGGCUAACUACGU